AUCCAACUGAUGAGUCUCAAGUAGGACGAAACACGCAUCGUGGAU
rnacentral:hammerhead_ribozyme from 1 species